rnacentral:tRNA from 1 species
GGAGAGGUGGCCGAGCGGCUGAAGGCGUCGGUUUGCUAAACCGAUUUACGGGCCAAAACCUGUAACGAGGGUUCAAAUCCCUCCCUCUCCG